AGUUCCUUGCCUGUGUAAAGCUCCCAACUGCCGAAAGUUCAUGAAUUAGGUUUACACUUUCCACAAAUUUUUUUCCUACACAAGGAGAUCUAACCAUUACACCCUCACUGCUUGCUAAUUUUAGUGAUUCUAGAGGAAUAUGUAUUUAGUUUACAUUUCUUCCUUCCUAGUAGGGGGCUCUUUCCGUAGAUGGUUUGGGUCAAUAAUAUAGCUAUUACUUGACGAAAGUUGGGUCUGGGUUAUUAUGUAUAGAUUCAGAGAAGGCAGAUCUUUUUCUUCUAUUCUGCCGCUACAGAAAUGUAAACUUCACUUCUCUCUAUUUUUUUUGGGAGAUCAACAAAAAGAUAAGAAAAAAAAAGAUGCAAGCAAUUCCUCUUUUAUUUUCUCUUUACUCUACUGUUUUCAAUAUUCAUCCCGUCCCCUGACUUUAACUCCUCCAACCAAAAAGAAAUAGAAGGAAAAAAAAUGAUAUUUACGGUACCUUGUGGAUUAAUGGUCAAUGAAACGGACGUAAAAUAUAAGUAUCAAGGUUCAAAAUCAAGCGUAGACGAAAACAUCUUAGGAUAUAUUUAUAUAGAUCUGAACUUUGUGAAAGAAUUACCAUUUCCUUGUUCGUCGUCAUGAGUCAACUGAUUUAUGGAGCAAAUCUGAAGCUGUGACUUGGAGAUGAAAGGACUCUGUACUUGACUACCUGUUGUCGGCUAGCUACCCAACCUUCUCCUUCCCAACUGGUUUCUCCUGUUUGUAUUUUGUGACGUCCAGAUUUUGGGCAUGUCAACCAUUUCUCUACAUCAGAUUAACAGGUUUGAUGAAAAUGAUUUUUUUUUUGGUUGGUAACGAGAGAUCAGUCUAUUAUAGCAGACUUUUUUCCUUCUUUUACUAGCGAUUUUGUUAAU
rnacentral:lncRNA from 1 species